GACUGAGGGGGGCUGCUCCUAGUACGAGAGGACCGGAGUGGACGCAUCACUGGUGUUCGGGUUGUCAUGCCAAUGGCACUGCCCGGUAGCUAAAUGCGGAAAAGAUAAGUGCUGAAAGCAUCUAAGCACGAAACUUGCCCCGAGAUGAGUCUUCCCUGAGACUUUGAGUCUCCUGAAGGAACGUUAAAGACGAUGACGUUGAUAGGCCGGGUGUGUAAGCGCAGCGAUGCGUUGAGCUAACCGGUACUAAUGAACCGUGAGGCUUAACCUUACAACGCCGAAG
rnacentral:rRNA from 1 species